ACCCGUGGUUAGCUCAGUUGGUAGAGCGCUCCACUGGAAAUGGAGAGGUCCCGGGUUCGAGUCCCGGACCAGGCG
rnacentral:tRNA from 1 species